rnacentral:rRNA from 1 species
UUAAGUGACUAAGCGUACAGGGCGGAUGCCUUGGCAAUCAGAGGCGAAGAAGGACGUGCUAAUCUGCGAAAAGCUUGGAUGAGUCGAUAAGAGGCGUUUAAUCCAAGAUGUCCGAAUGGGGAAACCCGAUGGAUGAAGAAUCCAUCAUUUCAUUGUGAAUACAUAGCAAUGAAAGGCGAACCGGGAGAACUGAAACAUCUAAGUACCCCGAGGAAAAGAAAUCAACCGAGAUUCUGUGAGUAGCGGCGAGCGAAAGCGGAAGAGCCAGUAAGUUUUAGCUAGUGUAUUAGAGGAAUUGGCUGGGAAGCCAAAUCAAAGAGGGUGAUAAUCCCGUACUCGAAAAUACGAUAGUGGAACUAAGCUUACGAUAAGUAGGGCGGGACACGAGAAAUCCUGUUUGAAGAUGGGGGGACCAUCCUCCAAGGCUAAAUACUCCUGAUUGACCGAUAGUGAACCAGUACUGUGAAGGAAAGGCGAAAAGAACCCCGGUGAGGGGAGUGAAAUAGAACCUGAAACCCUGUACGUACAAGCAGUAGGAGCGAGGGCAACCUUGUGACUGCGUACCUUUUGUAUAAUGGGUCAGCGACUUAUAUUUUGUAGCGAGGUUAACUGAAUAAGGGAGCCGAAGGGAAACCGAGUCUUAACUGGGCGUUGAGUUGCAAGGUAUAGACCCGAAACCCGGUGAUCUAGCCAUGGGCAGUUUGAAGGUUGGGUAACACUAACUGGAGGACCGAACCGACUAAUGUUGAAAAAUUAGCGGAUGACUUGUGGCUGGGGGUGAAAGGCCAAUCAAACCGGGAGAUAGCUGGUUCUCCCCGAAAUCUAUUUAGGUAGAGCCUUGAGCGGACACCUUCGGGGUAGAGCACUGUUUCGGCUAGGGGUCCAUCCCGGAUUACCAACCCGAUGCAAACUGCGAAUACCGAAGAGUGAUACUCAGGAGACACACGGCGGGUGCUAACGUUCGUCGUGGAGAGGGAAACCCAGACCCCCGCCAGCUAAGGUCAAAAAUCUAUAUUAAGUGGGAAACGAAGUGGGAAGGCUUAGACAGCUAGGAUGUUGGCUUAGAAGCAGCCAUCAUUUAAAGAAAGCGUAAUAGCUCACUAGUCGAGUCGGCCUGCGCGGAAGAUGUAACGGGGCUCAAAUAUAGCACCGAAGCUGCGGCAUCAGAAUUUAUUCUGUUGGGUAGGGGAGCGUUGUGUAAGCGGAAGAAGGUGGCUCGAGAGGGUUGCUGGACGUAUCACAAGUGCGAAUGCUGACAUAAGUAACGAUAAAACGAGUGAAAAAACUCGUUCGCCGGAAGACCAAGGGUUCCUGUCCAACGUUAAUCGGGCAGGGUGAGUCGGCCCCUAAGGCGAGGCUGAAAAGCGUAGUCGAUGGGAAACGGGUUAAUAUUCCCGUACUUGGUAAAGCUGCGAUGUGGGGACGGAGAAGGUUAGGUAAGCGGACUGUUGGAAAUGUCCGUUUAAGUUGGUAGUUGGGAGCGGUAGGCAAAUCCGCUGCUCCAUUCAACAACGAGAGAUGAUGACGAGUUCCUAAGGGAAUGAAGUUACCGAUACCCGGCUUCCAGGAAAAGCCACUAAGCGAAAGGCUUUAUUAAACCGUACUGAAAACCGACACAGGUGGUCAGGUAGAGAAUACUCAGGCGCUUGAGAGAACUCGGGUGAAGGAACUAGGCAAAAUAGCACCGUAACUUCGGGAGAAGGUGCGCUUACAGUAAUUGUAGUCCCUCGCGGAUGAAGGUGAAGUAAGUCGAAGAUACCAGCUGGCUGCAACUGUUUAUUAAAAACACAGCACUCUGCAAACACGAAAGUGGACGUAUAGGGUGUGAUGCCUGCCCGGUGCUGGAAGGUUAAUUGAUGGUGUUAUCGAAAGAGAAGCUCCUGAUCGAAGCCCCAGUAAACGGCGGCCGUAACUAUAACGGUCCUAAGGUAGCGAAAUUCCUUGUGGGUAAGUUCCGACCUGCACGAAUGGCAUAAUGAUGGCCAGGCUGUCUCCACCCGAGACUCAGUGAAAUUGAAAUCGCCGUGAAGAUGCGGUGUACCCGCGGCUAGACGGAAAGACCCCGUGAACCUUUACUAUAGCUUGACACUGAACAUUGAAUUUUGAUGUGUAGGAUAGGUGGGAGCCUUUGAAGCAGUGACGCCAGUCAUUGUGGAGGCGACCUUGAAAUACCACCCUUUAACGUUUGAUGUUCUAACGAAGUGCCUGAAACGGGUACUCGGACAGUGUCUGGUGGGUAGUUUGACUGGGGCGGUCUCCUCCCAAAGCGUAACGGAGGAGCACGAAGGUUUGCUAAUGACGGUCGGACAUCGUCAGGUUAGUGCAAUGGUAUAAGCAAGCUUAACUGCGAGACGGACAAGUCGAGCAGGUGCGAAAGCAGGUCAUAGUGAUCCGGUGGUUCUGAAUGGAAGGGCCAUCGCUCAACGGAUAAAGGUACUCCGGGGAUAACAGGCUGAUACCGCCAAGAGUUCAUAUCGACGGGUGUUUGGCACCUCGAUGUCGGCUCAUCACAUCCUGGGGCUGAAGUAGGUCCCAAGG